UACGGAGGAUCCGAGCGUUAUCCGGAUUUAUUGGGUUUAAGGGGUGCGUAGGCGGUUUGAUAAGUUAGAGGUGAAAUGUCGGGGCUCAACCCCGAAACUGCCUCUAAUACUGUUGGACUAGAGAAUAGUUGCGGUAGGCGGAAUGUAUGGUGUAGCGGUGAAAUGCUUAGAGAUCAUACAGAACACCGAUUGCGAAGGCAGCUUACCAAACUAUAUCUGACGUUGAGGCACGAAAGCGUGGGUAGCAAACAGG
rnacentral:rRNA from 1 species